GACAUAGGUGGCGAACGUUAUCCGGAUUUAUUGGGCGUAAAGGAUGCGUAGAUGGCAGGGUAAGUUAUCGGUCGAAAUCGGGCUCAACUCGAUGGAGGCUAAUAAUACUACUCUGCUGGAGGACAGGAGAGGUUAACGGAACUCUAUGAGUAGGGGUGAAAUCCAUUGAUCUAUAGGGGACCACCAAAAAAGGCGAAGGCAGUUAACUAUUCUGUUCCUGACAUUGAGGCAUGAAAGCGUGGGGAGCAAAACGG
rnacentral:rRNA from 1 species